ensembl:lncRNA
CUAUCUGUCUAUCUAUCUAUUGAUCUUUCUAUCUAUCUGUCUAUCUAUCUAUCUAUCUAUCGAUCUUUCUAUCUGUCUGUCUGUCUGUCUGUCUGUCUGUCUGUCUGUCUUCCGUGUCUGUCAUGUCUCCGCAGCUGCGUGCACAGGGAAUGGGGAGGUAAAGACGACGCUGUGGAACACGGGCAGUUUUUCUCAGCUGCUUCGGUACAUUUCUCGGAUCAGAACUGAAACUGUCAGCACCACGUCUUCAACCUCCUCAUCAUCUAGUCACGUUCAUGCAGUUGAUUAUGUGCAGCUGUUUGCAGUUCCCUACAUUAUCAACUGCUUCUGUCAUGUUCAUCAAAAUAUAUUAUACUGCUUCUCUGUGGAAAAGUCUUUACCCCCCAGAACAUCUGGACAUCACUUCACUGCAUAAAUCAUUCGGUGCGACACGGCUGAGCCAGUUCUCCUAGAUGUAUAGACAGUAGGAGAUACUGGCAGUGUGAGUACGCUGUUAUAUUGACAACACGGCUACGCGUUCUCUCUACCUUGGCGUUCUCACGGCCCGGAGAUGUUCCCAGACUGAAAUAUUUACUUCCGAGAGAUGAUUCCGAGCAAGUUGCAUGCUUUUGCAGGGAGCGUUUGCGUUGUGUGGUGUUCGGAGAAAAGCGCUUACUUAAACGCACUUGAAUGUUAAGCGCGAUUCGGGGAAAUGUACCGAGGCGACCGAGGAAAAAAACUAACACCGGAGAAUAAACCAAACCACAUUUCCUGUACACGUCGUGUAUUCGUUAAUAAAUCAGCAUGACACGUUCAAUUCGAAUAUUUUAUGUUGUUAUAUAAAAUUCAAAUUCAAAGCCUUUCAGGAAACCACAGUGCCAAAGUGCUGAACGCCUCUUACACAAAGCGUGCUCCUCAGGAGUUUACGUAUCUUCAGUUUUAGCAAGGAGCCGCUGUUUUAGAGUCACCAAACAGUGGCCAGAUGUAAGAUUAUUACUAGUCCUCCGUACGAAAGAGUCCGCUAAAUGAGACUGCUUUACUUGUGUAACUGUGUACACGUUUAAUCAGACGUUUUAAACAAUAACAUCUGACCUAAAGGUAUGAACUCAUUCUGUACCAGCUGACAUGAGAGAGAGAGGGAGAGAGAGAGGGAGAGACAGAGAGAGAUAGAGAAAGACAGAGAGAGAUAAAGAUAGAGAAAGACAGACACACAGAGAGAGAUAGAGAAAGACAGACACAGAGAGAGAGAUAGAGAAAGACACAGAGAGAGAGAGAAAG